rnacentral:rRNA from 1 species
GCAUGAAGUUGGAAUUGCUAGUAAUCGCGAAUCAGAAUGUCGCGGUGAAUACGUUCCCGGGCCUUGUACACACCGCCCGUCACACCAUGAGAGUCGAUAACACCCGAAGCCUGUGAGCUAACCUUUUAGGAGGCAGCAGUCGAAGGUGGGGGUUGAUGAUUGGGGUGAAGUCGUAACAAGGUACC